GCAGUGGGGGUUCAGUGGUAGAAUUCUUGCCUCUCAUGUGGGAGACCCAGGUUCAAUUCCUGGCCCAUGUA
rnacentral:tRNA from 1 species